UCCUUUAGCAGCACUUGGAGACACUAAAGGUCAGUUAUCUGCACUUCUUUCUGGUAAAUGGGAAGAGAUCCAACAUUUCAUCCUCAGCAGUAAGCCAAAGUAGAGUAUAUGGCCCACUUCUUUCCUUGAGCUAAAUCUAUUUUGGCUAUGAGGAGCUCUUAUUAAACUGCAUUUUCCCACUUAAGCACAUUUACAAGCACAGUGUAAGUACAAAUACGAGAACCAUAUGUAAAAAAUAGUGCUUUACCACAAAGUUUUACCACAAAAACAUGAAAAGGUGAGAAGUCCAUGACCCAGUUUUCCACAACCAGGAGGGGAAGGAUCAAGAAGCCAAAAAUCUGAUUAAAGCCAAGUGAAAGUCAUGCCUAAAUUCCUCCGGCAUGAAAUGGUCCAAGUUUGAAUCCAGCAUGUGGAUCCAUUUCAAUGCAGGCAUCACAGAUGUCAUCAUGUCUGCAAUGUGCAUCUGAACCGAGCCCAUCCAUUCAUCCAUCCAUUAUUAAACAACCAUCCUGGUCAGGGUCGCCAGGGGAGCUGGGGCCGAUCCCAACAGGCAUUAGGUGACUUUGUGUGGAGUUUGCACGUUCUCCACGUGUCUGCGUGGGUUUCCUCCCGGUGCUCCUAUCUAUUCCCACAUGCAGGUUUAGUGAACCGGAGACUCUAAAAUUUCAUGUAGGUGUGAAUCUGAGUGUGAAUCAAGCCCCCAAAGGUUACAUUUGAAAGGUUAAACCAGGUCUAUUGCAGUUUCUUUUCUAAGAACUUUGGACCGCGAUCCAACUUUCACAAACAUUAGUGACACAAGUUUGUCAGCGAUGUGGCCUUGGUGAGGGAACGACUGUGAUUCCAGUAAGUGUUUUGAAACCACCUGCUGCUGCCAGAUAUCCUACCUCCAGAGACAGCUGUGUGAAUGUGCGUGCAUGUGUUUGCCUUUACCCAUCCAUGUGCACUUUGAGUGUGUGUGUGUGUGUGUGUGUGUGUGUGUGUGUGUGUGUGUGUGUGUGUGUGUGUGUGUGUGCAUGUGUUUGUGUCAGAGCAUCCAGCUCAUGCAUUCCUCGUGGAUGGAGUCAAUACUUUGGAGGAGACCCUGCUGCCUGGACUAUUGAGUGUGUCAGGACUAUGAGGGAAACAAGAAAGGAAAAAGGGAAAGAAAGAGGCUGGCUUCAAGAGGAACACUUGGUAUUAUGCCACACACACACACACACACACACACACACACACACACACACACACACACACACACACACACACGUAAAGCACCCCUGCAAAUCUUUGCUGGAUCCUGAAGGCAAUUUCCUCCACUGGUUCAUCCAGAAAUCAUUUCAUAACUCAGGGACAUUAGUUGUUUUCCUAUGACACAUGUACAGGUGUAGACCCCCACUGAGGACCCCCAGUCCUGAGCCUUGAGGACGUCACUUGGAAGCUUCUUUGUGAUCCCAGUUCUACAACCAGCGUUGGUCUUCCUUUCGUCCAGAAAGCCUCUGCCUGGGAGGCCUGAUUACACAGAGGCUCAGAGGAGGAUAAAGGAGCUGGAUAUUUGCUGUGUGUGUGUGUGUGUGUGUGUGUGUGUGUGUGUGUGUGUGUGUGUGUGUGUGUGUGUGUGUGUGUGUGAGUGUGUGUGUUUUGCUGUUGCUUUUUCCAUUAAACCUAUUCUGUAUUUUGAUAUACAGCAAGAAAAUGUUCAUGGAGUUUAUAGAAGGAAGUAGAGGCAUCUACAGACUCAUCAAGUCAUGUACGAGUGAUUUAAACCUCUGAAUAACAAACUAAUGAACAAUAUUAUCUAAUUUCCUUUACACAUGUUGUUUGACACGCCCAUAUGGGAAGGCCUGUACAGCUCUGCUGGCACAUCAGCUCCUAUAAGUCUCAGACAUCCCAAGAUCAUCAGCCAGGCUCAGAAGUACACCAGGAGCCCCCAGCUCCAAGUGUCUCUGCCCACGGGAGAUGGUGAUGGAGGUGGUCCCAAAUGUCUUUGCCUCGUCCAAACACAUCCUUCAAUAUGCCCUCCCAGCAGCUCAGUAAAAUGGCUGUUGGAGUCACAAAAGCAGUUGAGGACCGUGGACUGAGGACUCUGCUGCUCUCAUCUCCAUGCUGUUGCAAGUCAAUUUCUCCCGCUCCAUCAGAGACCACAUGGUGCGGUCUAUCCAGGAAAAGGGUUAGACAGGGUUAUACUCAAGAUGUCCUGGUGUAGAGGCUCAACUACUUUGCAGCAGAAGGGCUGAACACCACUGCUGGAGAAAAGAGUGCUUUUUCAGCCUCAGACUCUGAACAACAGUGCUAGACCUCCUGCCAACAUCUGCCUGGAGGAAACAGAUGAACAGCCAGAACCAGUCUCUACUGGGGUUGCUGCUGGUGCAGCCUGUUCUGGAGGAGGACACUGAAGCAAUCAGAGAAACAGUCUCUGUUGGCAUUACUCCUCCACCAGCUUUAUAAAAAUGUCCACAAAACAUUUUGUUAAUAAAUCUGAACUAUAAUACAACAAUGCAAUUAAUAAACUAUAAUUAACAUCAAAA